ACAUGUGCGUUCACCUGGCGGUGAAACCGGAUGCCAGCACCAUCUUGUAAUGGGGCAUGUGGAUGCGGCCCUUCACACUUUGCUACUUUGUUUACAGAAUCACAAUUUAACAAAUUUAACAAGUGAAUAAAUUUAGUACUUUUUCCCUGCAUUUUUAAAAAGAGAAAAGUGACAAAUAUCAAUUUAAAUUACAUAGUUGGGUGAGGUGUUUUAUUUGACAGGAAUACAGAAUCAAAAGACAAGAUCUGUAUCUGAUUAUGUUUAUUUUCUACUCACGUUCACAGACAGGAGACUUGUUCUAGAUUACUGUCUCUCCUUCUAGGACACACUGAUGAGAAGAUUUGACAUUUAACUGGAACCUUAAACAAUGAGGAGCAGCAAAUCAUCACUAGAACAACUCACCUUUCAAUUGUACAGAUUGAAUCACUUCUUUCAAGUAUUUGUAAGAUGAGCCAUGGAGGAGGUCUCCAGGAGUUGUACAAGAUCUACCUACAAGGGAAACAAAACAGGAUUUGGGGCUGGAAUGGAGAAGACUUUAUGCGUUUUCUAUUAAAUUCCCUGACUGGACUUGCUGAUCGUUCUGCGUAUGUUUUCUCAAAGCAGUUUUUGAAAUUUGUAAAAUCUGUGCUUUCUCAAGGAGAAACACUGUUCAAACCUUAUUGUCUUUAUUUCUGUGUAUGAGAGAAAACUUUAUUUGUGGUCAAUUCUAUAUUAAAAACUCUAUGUUCUCAUUAUUAAAAUCUA